rnacentral:lncRNA from 1 species
UUGCCUCUCUCGGUCGUAGCAGAGCUGGUUGAAGUUAUCAGAUCUUGCCUUCCUGCAUUGACAGCGAAGCAGAUCGAAGACAAACCUUGCCACUCUCGUUUGUAGUAGAGCUGGUUGAAGAUAGCAGAUCUUGCCUUCCUGCAUUGACAGCGAAGCAGAUCGAAGACAAACCUUGCCACUCUCGUUUGUAGUAGAGCUGGUUGAAGAUAGCAGAUCUUGCCUUCCUGCACUGACAGCGAAGCAGAUCGAAGACAAACCUUGCCUCUCUCGUUUGUAGCAGAGCUGGUUGAAGAUAUCAGAUCUUGCUUUUCUGUAUUUGGCAGCGAAGCAGAUCGAAGAUGGCAGAUUUUACCUCCCUGACAACAGUGGAGUACAUUGAAGCCGAUAAUUCUAUCUCCCUGUAUUUGGCAGUAGAAUAGAUUGAAGAUUGCAGAUCUUGCCUUCCUGUAUUUGGCAGCGAAGCAGAUCAAAGAUAGCAGAUUUUACCUCCCUGACCACAGUGGAGUACAUUGAAGCCAAUAAUUCUAUCUCCCUGUAUUUGGCAGUGGAAUAGAUUGAAGAUUGCAGAUCUUGCUUUCCUGUAUUUGGCAGCGAAGCAGAUCAAAGAUGGUAGAUUUUACCUCCCUGACUACAGUGGAGUACAUUGAAGCCGAUAACUCUAUCUCCCUGUAUUUGGCAGUGGAAUAGAUUGAAGAUCAAGGAUGGCAGAUUUUACCUCCAUGUGACUACAGUGGAGUACAUUGAAGCCGAUAAUUCUAUCUCCCUGUAUUUGGCAGUGGAAUAGAUUGAAGAUUGCAGAUCUUGCCUUCCUGUAUUUGGCAGCGAAGCAGAUCAAAGAUGGCAGAUUUUACCUCCCUGACCACAGUGGAGUACAUUGAAGCCGAUAACUCUAUCUCCCUGUAUCUGGCAGUGGAAUAGAUUGAAGAUUGCAGAUCUUGCCUUCCUGUAUUAGGCAGCGAAGCAGAUCGAAGA